rnacentral:lncRNA from 1 species
AAAUAAAAAAAUAUUACAUAGUGUUUCACAAAGAAAAGUCCUGAUCCUGUUUGUUUUUGAAAAAUAGUUUGUUAGUGAGUUAAAAAAAAUGUAAAAAAAUCGUUGAAAGAAAAACAAUUAAUUUCUAUUUUAUUUCUAACCACCACCGACAGCUGAUAAUAAUCUCGUCAUAGAUACUCGGAAUAAAAUUUAAUAUUUACGCCAGACGCGGGUUUCGUCUACAAAAGACUCAUCAGUGACGCUCGAAUCAAAAAUGUUAUAAAAGGUCAAAUAAAGUACGAAGUUGAAGAGAUUUGAGGACCAAAUAUACACAUUCAUGAACAAUAUUGGCUGAUUCCGAAAUACAUGCAAUAAUAAAUUCCCCUUGUCAGCUUUAUUCUUCGGCUGUUUUGUCAAAUACCAGUUUAUUUGUAUCACUUUUAUUUGUUGCAACUACUUGACGCCAUCUUGAAACUCGACUAAACCUGCCCCUACC